GGGGGAAACCCUGAUGCAGCGACGCCGCGUGAACGAUGAAGCCCUUCGGGGUGUAAAGUUCUUUCGACGGGGACGAUAAUGACGGUACCCGGAGAAGAAGCUGCGGCUAACUACGUGCCAGCAGCCGCGGUAAUACGUAGGCAGCAAGCGUUGUUCGGAAUUACUGGGCGUAAAGAGUGCGUAGGUGGUUGGCCAAGUCUGGUGUGAAAUCUCCCGGCUUAACUGGGAGGGUGCGCCGAAAGCUGGUUGACUAGAGUGUGGGAGAGGGACGUGGAAUUCCUGGUGUAGCGGUGAAAUGCGUAGAGAUCAGGAGGAACACCUGCGGUGUAGGCGGCGUCCUGGACCAUGACUGACACUGAGGCACGAAAGCGUGGGGAGCAAACA
rnacentral:rRNA from 1 species